GGUUAAGCGACUAAGCGUACACGGUGGAUGCCCUGGCAGUCAGAGGCGAUGAAGGACGUGCUAAUCUGCGAUAAGCGUCGGUAAGGUGAUAUGAACCGUUAUAACCGGCGAUUUCCGAAUGGGGAAACCCAGUGUGUUUCGACACACUAUCAUUAACUGAAUCCAUAGGUUAAUGAGGCGAACCGGGGGAACUGAAACAUCUAAGUACCCCGAGGAAAAGAAAUCAACCGAGAUUCCCCCAGUAGCGGCGAGCGAACGGGGAGCAGCCCAGAGCCUGAAUCAGUGUGUGUGUUAGUGGAAGCGUCUGGAAAGGCGCGCGAUACAGGGUGACAGCCCCGUACACAAAAAUGCACAUGCUGUGAGCUCGAUGAGUAGGGCGGGACACGUGGUAUCCUGUCUGAAUAUGGGGGGACCAUCCUCCAAGGCUAAAUACUCCUGACUGACCGAUAGUGAACCAGUACCGUGAGGGAAAGGCGAAAAGAACCCCGGCGAGGGGAGUGAAAAAGAACCUGAAACCGUGUACGUACAAGCAGUGGGAGCACGCUUAGGCGUGUGACUGCGUACCUUUUGUAUAAUGGGUCAGCGACUUAUAUUCUGUAGCAAGGUUAACCGAAUAGGGGAGCCGAAGGGAAACCGAGUCUUAACUGGGCGUUAAGUUGCAGGGUAUAGACCCGAAACCCGGUGAUCUAGCCAUGGGCAGGUUGAAGGUUGGGUAACACUAACUGGAGGACCGAACCGACUAAUGUUGAAAAAUUAGCGGAUGACUUGUGGCUGGGGGUGAAAGGCCAAUCAAACCGGGAGAUAGCUGGUUCUCCCCGAAAGCUAUUUAGGUAGCGCCUCGUGAAUUCAUCUCCGGGGGUAGAGCACUGUUUCGGCAAGGGGGUCAUCCCGACUUACCAACCCGAUGCAAACUGCGAAUACCGGAGAAUGUUAUCACGGGAGACACACGGCGGGUGCUAACGUCCGUCGUGAAGAGGGAAACAACCCAGACCGCCAGCUAAGGUCCCAAAGUCAUGGUUAAGUGGGAAACGAUGUGGGAAGGCCCAGACAGCCAGGAUGUUGGCUUAGAAGCAGCCAUCAUUUAAAGAAAGCGUAAUAGCUCACUGGUCGAGUCGGCCUGCGCGGAAGAUGUAACGGGGCUAAACCAUGCACCGAAGCUGCGGCAGCGACGCUUAUGCGUUGUUGGGUAGGGGAGCGUUCUGUAAGCCUGUGAAGGUGUGCUGUGAGGCAUGCUGGAGGUAUCAGAAGUGCGAAUGCUGACAUAAGUAACGAUAAAGCGGGUGAAAAGCCCGCUCGCCGGAAGACCAAGGGUUCCUGUCCAACGUUAAUCGGGGCAGGGUGAGUCGACCCCUAAGGCGAGGCCGAAAGGCGUAGUCGAUGGGAAACAGGUUAAUAUUCCUGUACUUGGUGUUACUGCGAAGGGGGGACGGAGAAGGCUAUGUUGGCCGGGCGACGGUUGUCCCGGUUUAAGCGUGUAGGCUGGUUUUCCAGGCAAAUCCGGAAAAUCAAGGCUGAGGCGUGAUGACGAGGCACUACGGUGCUGAAGCAACAAAUGCCCUGCUUCCAGGAAAAGCCUCUAAGCAUCAGGUAACAUCAAAUCGUACCCCAAACCGACACAGGUGGUCAGGUAGAGAAUACCAAGGCGCUUGAGAGAACUCGGGUGAAGGAACUAGGCAAAAUGGUGCCGUAACUUCGGGAGAAGGCACGCUGAUAUGUAGGUGAAGUCCCUCGCGGAUGGAGCUGAAAUCAGUCGAAGAUACCAGCUGGCUGCAACUGUUUAUUAAAAACACAGCACUGUGCAAACACGAAAGUGGACGUAUACGGUGUGACGCCUGCCCGGUGCCGGAAGGUUAAUUGAUGGGGUUAGCCGCAAGGCGAAGCUCUUGAUCGAAGCCCCGGUAAACGGCGGCCGUAACUAUAACGGUCCUAAGGUAGCGAAAUUCCUUGUCGGGUAAGUUCCGACCUGCACGAAUGGCGUAAUGAUGGCCAGGCUGUCUCCACCCGAGACUCAGUGAAAUUGAACUCGCUGUGAAGAUGCAGUGUACCCGCGGCAAGACGGAAAGACCCCGUGAACCUUUACUAUAGCUUGACACUGAACAUUGAGCCUUGAUGUGUAGGAUAGGUGGGAGGCUUUGAAGUGUGGACGCCAGUCUGCAUGGAGCCGACCUUGAAAUACCACCCUUUAAUGUUUGAUGUUCUAACGUUGACCCGUAAUCCGGGUUGCGGACAGUGUCUGGUGGGUAGUUUGACUGGGGCGGUCUCCUCCUAAAGAGUAACGGAGGAGCACGAAGGUUGGCUAAUCCUGGUCGGACAUCAGGAGGUUAGUGCAAUGGCAUAAGCCAGCUUGACUGCGAGCGUGACGGCGCGAGCAGGUGCGAAAGCAGGUCAUAGUGAUCCGGUGGUUCUGAAUGGAAGGGCCAUCGCUCAACGGAUAAAAGGUACUCCGGGGAUAACAGGCUGAUACCGCCCAAGAGUUCAUAUCGACGGCGGUGUUUGGCACCUCGAUGUCGGCUCAUCACAUCCUGGGGCUGAAGUAGGUCCCAAGGGUAUGGCUGUUCGCCAUUUAAAGUGGUACGCGAGCUGGGUUUAGAACGUCGUGAGACAGUUCGGUCCCUAUCUGCCGUGGGCGCUGGAGAACUGAGGGGGGCUGCUCCUAGUACGAGAGGACCGGAGUGGACGCAUCACUGGUGUUCGGGUUGUCAUGCCAAUGGCACUGCCCGGUAGCUAAAUGCGGAAGAGAUAAGUGCUGAAAGCAUCUAAGCACGAAACUUGCCCCGAGAUGAGUUCUCCCUGACUCCUUGAGAGUCCUGAAGGAACGUUGAAGACGACGACGUUGAUAGGCCGGGUGUGUAAGCGCAGCGAUGCGUUGAGCUAACCGGUACUAAUGAACCGUGAGGCUUAACCUU
rnacentral:rRNA from 1 species